rnacentral:rRNA from 1 species
UACGUAGGGGGCAAGCGUUGUCCGGAAUUAUUGGGCGUAAAGAGCUCGUAGGCGGUUUGUCGCGUCUGCUGUGAAAACCCGAGGCUCAACCUCGGGCCUGCAGUGGGUACGGGCAGACUAGAGUGCGGUAGGGGAGAUUGGAAUUCCUGGUGUAGCGGUGGAAUGCGCAGAUAUCAGGAGGAACACCGAUGGCGAAGGCAGAUCUCUGGGCCGUAACUGACGCUGAGGAGCGAAAGCGUGGGGAGCGAACAGG